AGAGCGGAUUUCCGCUGUCUGGAACCGCCAUUUUGCUUUAUUCUCUUUACUUUGAUGGUUGCUGUGCCUUACUGCUCAGCUCUGCGUCGAUUUGCUGUUAUUUUGAUGCUUUAUUCACGCAUUGACGGUGACUGUGCUUAACAACUAGGUGCCCGUCUUAUCCUACGUAUUGUGUGCGGACUCGAGAAGAACUGGCUUCAGUCUCUGGACAUUGAAAAUGGUGGGAACGUUUCGAAAAACUUCGUGCCUAUCAAGCCUUCGGACAAUGCCGCAUACAAUGUGCUCCGCUUGCUAGCAAGACUGUUCAUUGCUCGUCAUGUGCAAAAGUGAAUGUGAAAUGGCCAUGGGCAUUUAUUUCGACCCUCGAGGUGUUCCUGCACGACAACUGUCGCCAGCCACGCAAGCUUCUGAAAUACGUGCAACGCUCGGUGAAUGCGCCGAACCUGGGCUCGUUGACGAAGUUCCCGUACAGAUAACGCUAAUGGUGCUCCAUUGAAGCCAGUGAAUUGAACUUACAAAACGCAAGUCAUGCCUGCCGCAGACACAUUUUUCGUUGUGCGUGUUUACCAACCAUCAGCGUCGACUGGACAAGUAACUUGGAUUCAUGGUGGACAUCUUUCCAAAAACCAGUGGGGCCACCCUCCUACAAGGAGUGCUUGGUCAUGGGUCAACAAGCAAGAUGGGGAGUCUCCGAGCUCGCGAGGGUGGUACGCAGCUUAGAAAGCCUGUCAAUUGAUGAGUAUAUCGAAUUGGUACGCGCCAGACGUCUUGGGUACGCACGCGAAAAUUUAGGAGAUUAGCUGCAUCGUAAAAUUAAGCCCGAAUCAUUUUUGGGCAGGCUGCGCGGCCAUGAGUCAGGGGUUUGCCGUGACGGAAUACGAGAGGACGGGCCGGGUCGCUGGUGCGGCGACGAAUAGAGCUUCAGGUUUAGCCCGCAGUUAGCUAACACGUGGAAGCGUAGCUUGAUAGCGGUCUUCUUUCGAUUUCGUCAGAUACAUUUGCCCGUUCCGAAUGACGUUGCGACCUCAAUCACUAUUUCAUAAUUACGUUGUGCAUGUGCGGUACAAGAUAAAGUGACGUGUGGUUUUAUAUGGAAUGUGGUUCUGAGGAAGCAAAUGGCAUGCGGAAUAGCCUCGUUAGCUCGAUAGCUUUAAUGCUGCGGAACCUCUUCAGGUUGCAGAUCAGCGCUUCCGUCUGCAACCAAUGUCAGUGGUGUUCAACCUUUUAUCUUUAUGAGCGUGUGUGGACAGUCUGUUUGCCAUUGCUGUGAUACGCACUUCGCUCACCUCGUCGGACGUGGCGACGGCUUUUCUUGACUUGCCUGAAGACGGUCCGCGUACGCUUGCGAACCUCAUAUCAUGCACGAUGACUGGCCGCUGCGGGCUGCUAUACAUCGACGUUGGACUACGGCAAUGAUAUGCGAACACCAUCACGUGAAUCCAUCGUUGGGACACUGCAAGUGGAAUGACAGAGCGGUUCCGGGCCAACGAGAUUGCAGUUUUGGUGUCUAACCAUUGCCCUCACUUUUGGCGGCCGACUGUCGAAGUCACCCCGGGUCUUAUCUGUGAGAGAAUCGCAGAGGACGGGGUACGGGUUGGGCGUCGCACCGUGCAUGUCCUCCUACGAUCUAGUCACGGACAUUGAACCCGUUUCGAAUGGCUUUGUGAAGCGACCACUAUUUCGCGUCGAGUAGCCCGUGCGCUCGAGUGAAAUGUGGUUUCGCGGAAGCAAAUGGCAUCCGGAAUUCCCUCGUCAGCGUGUUAUGUAACCGCACAGGAAAACUGCUUCCUUCAGCGCAAUGUCAUUACUGUCAUUGUUGUUUUACCUGGUAGCUUUGUUUCUAAUGAUACGUUUUAUUCACGGUGCCAUGCUUACUGUGCACUUUUGAGGAUUAUUUCCAGGGUUUGUUCGAGUCCCGCUGAUUGUGCACAGGUUCAUGGACAUCGCAGCACACUACUAUGGAAUAUGACACACCCCGGCCUGCAGAUGUCUCUUUUCCGAGUGGGCUGAACAUCGAAGACCAGCCGUAGACCACGAGAAAGUUGCGCUUUACUGUCUCUGGUUUUAAUUGCUACCCGUGACUAGGACAUGGAGCUUACUCCUGCUGCAGACUGCCUUCAAGGCGAUCACCUGGGACAUCAGUCGUAGUUCGUCGUGUCGGCCUUUCAUUGCUACCCUUGACAAGCCCAUGGAGAUGACUUCUGCUGACUGUUUCCAAGGCUAUCCGUUCCUGAGAUUACCUGCGACGCCACUCCACGUAUGGCCAGACAUUUUGGCACCUUCCAACUGCUUCGCUGAUGGCGUGAACCUGGCAACCGACACAUCGCAGCUACCCUUGAAAUUUGCUUGCUUCCUCGUGGUGGUAUUUCAUUGCUACACCUGACAAGUACACGGAGACGACUCCUGCAGGCUGCUUCCAAGGCUCUCCGUUCCUGAGAUCACCUGUCACAUCAGUCGUCGUAUGGCUGAACCUUUUGGCACCUUCGCCCUCCUUCGCUGAAGACGACAUCCACACUUCGGCUACCUUUGCGAAAGGAUCUCCACCUGUGUUCUCGCUUUUGAGGCGCCGCAGAAGAUUGCUCCAGCCCACUCUUGACAUCGGUAACGUCCAUGACAUCACCCCAAAAUCGACGACUGCUCGUUCUACCGGAAACUCCCGGCCGUUCAAUUCUUCGUACGCUUCCAAGCCUUUGUUGGAGGUUCCUGCACUGUCUUCGCAGCGUGUGGGUGUUCUCCGGAAAGACUGCAGUCGCCUUCACUAAAGGCUCUACUGAAUCUAGUGCGGUAUAUUUUGUAACAUGAGUAGGAAAUGAUGUAAAUAAUCUAAAGACGCAAGUUUCCCUAUAUUAUCGCAGCCAAAGGAUGGUACAUCUAGCCGUUUCAAGGGAGCCCAAGAGUAAAAAUGAAAAAAAAAUGUCGCGUCAUUUGUAAACGUUUUAUGAUGGGGAUAAGCAUAUCUAUUUACAUUCUGUGCUUUCGUAGAGUUAGGAGGUGGGAUUACGUGCACGCAUGUUCGCACACACUUUCGUUUGCUCACAAUUAACGUUCCAGUCGGCAGGUUAUUUCUGGUCUUGUUGCGUUCUGAAUGGGUCGUAUUCACUUUUUACUACAGCUUGUUCCACGAUGUCGUUUUCUUACGGAGAGUGCCAGCAACGACCAUAAUUCGUUGAUGGACCAAUGAUAUGUAUUGUGGAGCAUCUUUCAGAGCUAUUUGAGCUAUUUUUUAUGUCGGUCAUACUGGUUGACGUAGGAAGCUUAAAUGACUGUUCUUUCUUGUCCACUGACAUACUCCUAGAAAGUUGUUGGAAAAUUUUUGUCUUUAGCCCAAGGUUGAUCUUGGAGUGUUUUCAUUCAUGGAACUGAUUUGUUAAAAUUUCGUUAUCAGUGGAUGCCCGUCUGGCCUUUUCUAGAAAUACGAAUUUGGGAAACUCCAAUCCUUGAACUAAUUUGCAGAGAAUUCGUCGUGUCUCAUCAGUAGCAGGCUGUUUGGCUUCGUCUCAGGGUUGGAGCUUUGGUCUUUCAUUUGUUCAACUUAUUCCCAAUAUUCGUCAUGCCGCAUCAGUAUAGAAGCCCAUUCGGCAUUGUACAGAGUUUUAAACAAGGGCCUUUCAUUUCAUCGCACCUAUUUACGCAAGACUCAUCGAGUCGAAUCAGUAGAAGCCCGUUUGAGUUUGUCCCGAGGUUAGAACUCUGAUUUUUCAUUUACUUAAUCAAAUGGAACUCAUGUCGAAUUGGUAGAAAUCCAUUCGGCUUUGUACCGAGAUAAAAUCAGGGCCUUUCAUUUAUCGCACUUGUUUCUGAAGCUUUCAUCAUUUUGAAUCGGUAGAAGCACGUUUGGCUUUGUCCCGAGGUUUGAAAUCGGACCUGUCGUUCGUUGAAAUUAUUGGCGCGUAAUUCAUCGUGUCGCAUUGUUUCAUACGAGGUUAAAAGUCUGAAUGGUUUGUCUCGAUGUUCUUUCAAGCAAUGAACAGAUUUCUUGGAGUAUCUCAAUGUGCGGAAGCGUUAGAAGCACCUAUAUGGCGCUCGCUAGAGAGUUGAUUGCAGUGCGGUUGUUUCAUUCAUUCAAAGAGAUUGCUCCAAAACGUUUUCUUGCUAAAAACAAUAGUUUCAUAUAUUUUCUAUGUUCUCACACAUUUUAGGAUUGUGGCCGCAAACUCGUUGACAUUUAAGCGGCAAGUAGUUUAUCGUUACGUCAUUUCAGUACGGCACCCAGAGUGAUCAAUAGUUUUAAAUGACAUUCGCAUUGGAAUCGGUUACUGCGCUUAUUUAUUUGUCUGUGGGUUUAUCUCAGAGUAAAUGCUCGACCCAUAUUGAACGAUAUUUUCUAUAAAAAUCCUCAACUUAAGUACUCGUUAUGUGUUUCCAAGGGGUCAAUAUCAAGCAUGUCUUAUCCAUAUCAACUUCCUCUGGACGGGCUCAAAGUUUUCACACACGAAUGGUCUCGUUUUUCUUCCGCGUCACUCAUCGUCAGUUUCGAAGCUCAUCACCCCUAUAAUGUGAAUAAAUGGGAAAGGGCUGGGCGUUUACCCUCACCAAGGAAAACUCUGGCCACAGCAAAGACAUCUUUUUAUGACAUGCACCAUGAAGCAGCCUUAUUGUGUAAGCCAGAACGAUCGGGAUUCAUUCAUUGUACCUGAACCAUUCCAAUUCAAUGUAUGUGCAUAAUCACCCGUUAUGAAGCACCGUUUGUCAUGAUAGACGCUAUAUACGGCGCGUUUGGCACCAAUCUGCAUGUUUUGUCAAGCUAAAAGGGGUAGCGUGAACCUCUGUCUAGUGAAAUUGUCGUUGGCUGUUUGUACUGUUUCUGUUGCUUUUUGUGCUGUCCAUUGCGUUCAUUGCUGCAAGAAGCCACUGCUCCAUUCAAUAACUUGACUUAAAAGUAUGUACAAUAAUUGCAUUGACUGCAGAAACGGUAUUGUUUUCAUGACCGUAAUGCUUGAAUAAACGUUUGCACGUUGCUUGGAAAGCCAAUAAAAAUCUUCAGAUCCGGUCCUAGAUAAA